rnacentral:lncRNA from 1 species
CUGAAUUGUGCAGUCGGUGCUGUGUAAGCUCCAUACCUAUCCGUGAAGCGCUGCUCCGAGCUCGGUGAGGUCACUAGUGGGUGCUGCAGACACUCGGAGAGCAAAGAAGGCAAAGACGCAGAAAGCUAGCACCGGACUGUUGACGGGGAAAGUGAAACGUUAAGAGUCCCGUACCGUAGGUUCUAUCAGUAUCACUAUUGAUUUAUUUUUUGGGAAACAACAACAACAACAACAACUGCGUAUUUAGGAUCGAAGAGUGCAGCCCAUAGUCUGAGUCGGCCUACCGGAGAAGGAAAAGAGGCUGGCAGAGAUGAAGGGAAGACACACUGCUCUCAUCUGUAUGGGAGUCCGGUCUGACUGCAGCUUUUAAGAGGGAGAUCUGCAGCUGCCUGGUACAGGUAGGAGCUGGGGCUGUCUCAUACUGUACAGCGUGUAUUGGGCUGUGGGAUUUUUGGGGGGCAGAAAGUGCGGGCAUCAGAUCAGAAGGUAAACAGGAAUGUGUGAAGGUCUACUUCAAAGAGAUGCCAACAACAGCAACCUUCACAUGCAGUGAAGAGCGCAGAAUUUGCAGGCAUCUCACCUUUUUAU